rnacentral:tRNA from 1 species
AAUAAAAUGGCUGAGUUAUAAGCAGAAAACUGUAAAUUUUCUAACGGGAAAUCCCUUUUAU